GGACCAACGGUAAGCUGCCAUCAUAUACCAACCUCAACAACCUUUAUAUUCAUUAUGAUUCAUUCUCUUAUUCACUUCAAUUGGUAGUCUAUAUCGAUGUCGGGGUAUUUGGUGACCUCAUUUUUUCUGAGUAGUCCAUGUGAAUUACUUUUGAAAUUUUCAUUGCGUAAAACAGAACAUUUUGUAGACUGUAACUCUAGAUAUAGCCACGUUUGAUUUUUGGUAAAACUUUAAAACUUUCCGGAUAAUUUUUCGCAUAUAUUUGAUAAGCCUGAGAGUGAAGAUCACGUAAUGUUUGCAUACGCGAAAAAGGUGCUGAUAACUAUCAAAAUAUUAUAUGUAAAUUUAUCUUAAAAACAAGAGCACAUUCAAUGUUUUAAUGAAUAAGGACGUAUGUUAAUCUGGGCACUUGAAAACAUCAAGAUUUACUAAGAUAUUCAGGGCAACAAAAAAUGUUGUUAUUGUAGAGCUGAGUUAACGAAAAAUCUCGUCCGAAUUGCAUACCUGUCUAGGCGACUAGUUGUUGAAAAUACCGGUAAUUGAUCUGCAGAGUCAGCACAGCAAAGGCGAAAUUUCUUCACUUCGUAAUUGAAGUGGGGCAUGACUUCUUAUUAAUGGGCGUGUCGUGCUCAGCUGGUAACAAGCGUGUUGCGACGCACAAGUCAAUUUGCAUUCCUGAACGUGCGAAUUCGUAUCACUUUCUAAAUGACUGAUGUAAUUGACGCGUAAAGGAUAGAAAAGAAUUGUGGAUAAUACUUUAACCAGUUUUUAAGAAUGUGCCCUAUGGCCUAUUGCAUUAUUUUCACAACAGUAUACUUUUACAUACAUAUAUGGUAGACUAAAAAACUAGCUAGCGAUCACAUUGGAUAAUUUUUAGAAAAAAUUCCAUUAUCCAUAUAAAUUUAAAACAAUGUUGGUAUCCACAACUUUCAAACAGUUCAAAAACACAUCAUAUACAUUUUACUUCCGAUUCUUCUUAAAAUAGUAGGCUUUCUUCGACACAAUAAUAUGUCUCUCCUUCUCAAACUUAAUUUUAUUCCAUUGUAGUCACCAUGCAGAUAUGUAAAUAUUUUUGAGUAAGUUCGUUUGAAUGAGUUUGUAAGAGUUUGAGAAAAAGAAAUUCGAAUAAACUCUGCUUAAGGGGCAAACCUAGUGUGAGAGCCUAAAAAAGAACGGUUUUUGUGAACUUAAAAAGUUAAAAACUGCUG